ensembl:snoRNA SNORD42 Small nucleolar RNA SNORD42
GUGCAAAUGAUGUAAACUUUUGAUUCCACUGAGUAAUGUGAUGCUUCCAAAGGAACCACUGAUGCAC